rnacentral:lncRNA from 1 species
AAUUUCCAGUGGGCUCUUCUCUCGACUGGCCUCAUGUUCUUUUACCACUUCAGCUUCCUGCAGAUCCUCGGCCUGGUCACCGAAGUGAAUUUGAACAACAUGCUGUGUCCGGCCAUCUCAGACCCAUUCUACGGCCCCUGGUAUCGCAUCUGGGCCUCGGGACACCAGACUCUCAUGACCAUGACCCACGGGAAGCUGGUCAUCCUGUUCUCAUACAUGGCUGGGCCCUUGUGUAAAUAUCUGCUGGAUUUGCUCCGGCUUCCAGCCAAGAAAAUAGACUAAAGGUGCUUGGGGUUUUGUUUUUGUUUUAGUUCUGUUUGUUUUUUUGUUUUGUUUUUGUUUUUGUUUUUGUUUUGUUUUGUUUCUUCCUGAGGAAGCAAAUCCAGACUUGACUCAGAAUACUCAGCUCUUGAUGAAAUCACUGGAGAGGGCAGAUAGAGUGCUUGGUUUAUUUCCUUUCCCCUCCUCUCUGGCCCUUUCCUCCACUACUCUUCCUUCCCCAGCUCCUCCCCUCGGAUGACUCUUGGUACCCAGGGAAGGUGCUGGGGGCUGGAGCUUACUCCUUUUCCUUCCCUGGGUUCUGGGUCCCUUGUGUGGCCCACCCCGUCUGCGUGGCCUUACCCAGGGAAAUGGUAGUCAGCGGCCCCUUCCAUACGGCUUGUCGGUGCUUUUGACAACAGCCAGUUGAGGAAGGGGAGGACAACGAGCAGUAGUUCUUCCAGCAUCCCAGCAAUGAAGUAGUGUUGGGUUCAUUUCUCCACUGCCAGGGACCUCCAGGCUCAUGCUGGGAUCCCCUUUCAUCUCCAGCAUAGCCCCCCACCAGAAGGGGACCAAGGCCUUGCUUCUAUACCAGCCGCAAGCCCAGAGCCAAGGGACUUCCCAGUUCACAGCCAAAAUAGAUUCUUUCAGUGACUGGUGUCCCAUGACUGAAAGCAGGGAGUCACCCAGCCACUCCUUCUAAGGGAGCUGCCUGGGGCGGAUGAUGAUAGCAGUGUGCAGCCAACGGACAAGAUUCUGUACAGGGGUGUUAGGGAUCUGUUGCCACAGUGAAUCUCAAGGGAAGAUGAUAAAGGCGUACAUAGUACCAGGCUGGACGACCCCCCACCACAGAAAACCAACCAACCUUCCCUAUGAAAGCUGAGAUUAGAUCCACAUCUAAAAUGAGCAUAGAAAUUAAGAACUCAACUAAGUCAAGUGGCAACUUGAGAAAGCCACAAUAUGAAUCACACUCUGCAUCACAUGGAUAAUAGGCAGUGUUCUAGUCUCAGCUGACCCGGAACCAUCCUCAUUGUCUGUGUAUGUGCCUGUCUGUUUUUCUGUCUGAGGCAGCUUCAUGGAAGAACGAGCUGGGCUUGGGGCUUGGGUGCUGUUUGGCUGUUUGUCUUUUGGCUGUUUGAAAUGGGGGAACCGUCACAUUUCUCAAAGGUACUCUCGAGCCAUUCCUGGCACUUAGGAGGUGUGUCUAUGGUUCCUGGAGGGCGUUUUCUGAGGGUUAGAUUUCUCUUGUGUAGCUCGACUCUGCUGAAGUCGACAUCACUGGUUUUGAGGCUUGAUAGUGUCCAAAACCCAUAUGUAGGUUGAAAGGGAACUCUCAGUGGACCUGAGGCCCAUAGGUUCAAGUGUUCUGAAGGGAGGCGCUUUGGUUGGAAGGUACUUGGUUAUAUGUGGACCACAAAGGGGACCAGUGUCUGUCUAUCUGCUGACUCCUUGUCAACAUCUAGUAGGAAGAGAUUUGCUUGGGAAUAGAAAUGUUUGUACCAUGAGCACCCCAACGUCUCGUGCCAGAUGCAGUAUUCAAUGUGAGUUUGUGGGUAUUAGGCCUCAGCUGAACUUCAGCAGCUCAGUGGCCAUGUUUCUAGACAAUGGACUUUCAGGGAAAGUAUCUGCAGGAAAGCACACGGGAACUCAGAGGAGCCAUUGUGGGACGGGCUGCCUGGCCAUGAGGUGAUCAAGUCUGAGGUACUGAAAGCAGGGAAGAACUCUAGGCUUGCUGCCCUUGAGCUCCUGUCCUGGCAUCUUCGCCUUCUGCUGUCUGUGAGGGCUAUGCUGAGCUUCCCUCUCUGACUCUUCAGGUACUGACUCGCCCUGCCCACUCAUAGAAGUUGGUGGAUGAAUAGCAUGCAGGGAAGCCUCCUUGGCCUGGGGCUUCUCUGUAAGGAGGCAUCAUAGGAGGGGAGUCCAUGAGGCCCGAAACAUGGAGCUGCUACCUGCAGCGGUGGAGGGCCUCAGCAGAGGGGACCAACUCCAGAAUGUCAUCGAGGUGGGAGUGCCACACAUACUCCUUUCCCAUCUGAGGCUUCAUGGUCCAGGUCGCCGGUAAUCUUGGGUUUCCCUGCAUUGGCCUGCCUUUGCUUUGGUGCCAGCUCGGUAGGUAUUUUCUGGUGCUCAGAGGAAGAGUGGAAAUCCAAAGCCAGGAUACCUGGCAUGGCCAAGCCAGAGUCAAACAUACGUGUCAGGAAAGAGGAAGUGAAGGGGACACGCAGGGGUCGAGGUUGGCUAAGGAAGCUGAAUGAAACAGAUUGUGGCUCCUUCAACAGACUCCAUAGGGAGGCUCAGCCUGGGUGUGAGAUGUUGGGGAGCAGGGGACCUGUGAGAUGUUGGGGAGCAGGGGACCUCUUCACUGUCUAUAUAUCGUGGUCCAAACCUACAUGGCAAGAGGUAACCUGCCUAGGCUCUUAGCACUUUGCUGUGGGAGUUGUCCCUAGGUCUGUCCAGAGCCUACCCUCUACUGCCUGUGGUACAGGGAUGGAGAAGACAGUAUGCCUUGACUUGGCAGCUCCUCCUCGGGCCUGUCGUUCCCUACCAGCAUGUGUGAGCUCUGGGCCUGGGCAAGAGUGCUCAGAGAGGUGCCUAUCAGGAAGGAACAAAGUCUCUUCAAGCCCUAAUUGUCCGUGGUCAGGGGGCUGCGCCAAUAAGUACAGUUGGCUAAGCCAGUGUCUCUGCUUAGAGGUCCUUCCUGCCCCCAGUAUUUGGUUUUGUGUAUAUAAGACUUGGCCCAGCAUCUUCUCAGAAGCCUUGCAGCAUGGUCUUCUGUCAUCCUGUGACAUGCUGUGGGAUUGGAGAGCCACCUCCUCCUCCUCUUUAAGUCUGUCUUCUGUCUUUCUGUGGACUUCUUUGUACCUGUGGGGGUGGUCUAUGGGGUCUAUGUGCACUUUAAUCUAUGGUGCCUCUGGUAGGGGUUUGCUAUAUGUGAUCAUAUGGGUGAUUCAGUGUUUCAUGAUGUAAUUACAAGUUUCUCAUGGAUAGCUCAGUGUCAACAGUGGAACUGGGGCUGGGUAAUGUCCUGAGCUGGGUGUUUAGGAGAUGGCACCGGGCCCCUUUUAACUCUCUGCCAAAUAGACUUCCCUGGGAAUUCUGGCACCUGUCCUCUUUGGGACAAGGGUUUCUUAAUGGUUUCUACUGUAAGGGAGGCCAGAAGCAGGGGGCGGGGGAGGACAAGACAUCGCUUCUGGUUUUUUGUGAGCCAGGAACAGGUUUCUCUGGCAACUUGGGAAGUCCCCAGACUAGGAAGGAGCAUCCUGUCUCCUCCUGGUCCAGCUGUCCCUGAGGUAAAAGUCCAUUAGAGGAGUCAGUCUUCCUCUGGUAUAUGCAGUGUGCUCACUGUGUGCAGGAAGACCAAGUGGCUUGCUGUUGCCCUCGUCUGUGACACUUUUGUACACUGAUUUGCCACUCAUGGCACUGAGCAGACAUCCAUCCCUACUCAGUGAAAAACCAGUCAAAAGCAAAAGUCCUUUGAAGCAGAAGUUGAUGCUUUGGAAAACUCUUGACUUAUUUUGGUGUCAACAUUAUGUUAGAUUUGAAAGCAUUCUUCGUGUAUUUGAUGUAAUUGUAGCGAAGAGAGCAGGAUUGAAUGGUGUUCAGUUAUUUCUUCUGGGACAUGGAAAGCCUGUCCCCCAUCCUUCUUCUGAAGCCGAGUCUGCUGUGUACUGUUACCCUCGAGGGAGCGCAGGGCUCUUCUGAGAGCCGGUCUCUGAACUGCUGCUUCUGGGACAUGCUUCCCCACCUCCUCCAGUCUACCUCCCCUCUUGGGGUGUUUUUGUAAUGUGCUUUCUCUGUUUUGUAAAAUCCCUUUGAUUGUAAUGAAGUGGGUUCUGCAGCCACCUUUUGGAAAUAAAUGGUCCUUAAAUUGUGU